AUGACCUUCAGCACAUGGCUUGAUGGGGUCGUAGGAGGAGGAAUUGUGGAAACAAUUACUUAUCAGGUCUACGACCGAGCCUCUGGGACCUAUGUAACACGCACCUUCCAGAAUCCCAACACGUUGCUCGAUGAUGUCGCCAGUGUGGUCUGUACCGGAGCGGCUGCUGCUAUGUGCUGGGCAGCGUGGAGGUACCACCAACGUAGUGUGUCUCUGCGCAAGUACGGCCGGGACAUGACGGCCUUGGCCGGCAAGGCAGACCCGGUGAUUGGCCGCGACGACGAGAUUGAUCGUGUUAUCUGCAUCCUCAGCCGCCGGACCAAGAACUGUGCGGCGCUAGUCGGUGCCGCAGGGGUCGGCAAGACAGCCAUUGCCGAGGGCCUCGCUCAACGCAUUGCUGCUGGGACAGUCCCUGCCGCCCUCGCUGGAGCAUGCAUUGUGGAAGUUGAUCUCGGGGCCAUGGUGGCUGGGACUAUGUUCCGUUGCAUGUUUGAGCAGCGCAUCAAGAAUGUGAUCAAGCUGGCAGAGGAUGCGGACGGCAAGGUAAUUCUCUUCAUCGACGAGAUGCACAUGCUUCUUGGCGCAGGAGGCGGUCUGGCCCAGAAGAGUACGACGGAUGCUGCCAACAUGCUGAAGCCGGCAUUGGCCCGUGGUCGUAUCCGAUGUGUGGCCGCGACGACUUUGGAUGAGUACCACAAGUACAUUGAGAAGGAUGCCGCAUUGGAGCGGCGAUUCCAAAAGGUGCAUGUCGAGGAACCGAGCACGCAGUCCAUCAUUGCCAUUCUGCGAGGGCUGAAAGAAAGGUAUAAGCAGCACCAUGGCUUGGAAAUCCAGGAUGCUGCUCUUGUUGCUGCCACAACACUCGCUGCCCGCUAUAUCACUGGUCGUCAAUUUCCUGAUAAGGCAAUUGACCUGAUUGAUGAGGCAUGCGCCACUGCAGAGAAAAAGAUGAUGCAAAUUGACAAACAAGAACAGCAAUUUAGCAUUGCACUAACUUCCUCUGCAAUGAAGGAAGCAAUUGUUGGCACAGAUCAAGUUGCACAAGUUGUGAGCCGAUGGACUGGAAUUCCUGUCACCACGCUUAAUCAAGGGGAGAAGGAUAAGUUGAUCCACCUAGCGGCUAGAUCGCAUGAACGAGUUGUUGGCCAGGAUGAAGCGGUCAGUAAGGUUGCGCAAGCAAAUGACUUAGGAAUGAGGCGGAUCAAAUUCGUGAUUGGCAACGGGAUGUCAACAAGAUUUUGGGAGGACACGUGGCUAGGAGAGACACCUCUGGCCUUACAGUUAUCUUCAGAGCUACAGCUUGGAUCCGUACGUGGUCCUUACUCACUCCUAUGGACUCCAGGGAGCCUUUGGUUACUGGGUGCAACCAAUGGGAGAUGGUGGCUCGGGCUAUAUUCAACCGGUUCGGAUGGCGGUCGCAUAACAGAAUAG
rnacentral:rRNA from 1 species